GCGAGGUGGAGCGAAUCUCCAAAAAUUGUCCCAGUUCAGAUUGCAGGCUGCAACUCGCCUGCAUGAAGUCGGAAUUGCUAGUAAUCGUGGAUCAGCAUGCCACGGUGAAUACGUUCCCGGGCCUUGUACACACCGCCCGUCACACCAUGGGAGUCGGUAACACCCGAAGCCUGUAGUCUAACCGCAAGGAGGACGCAGUCGAAGGUGGGAUUGAUGACUGGGGUGAAGUCGUAACAAGGUACC
rnacentral:rRNA from 1 species